rnacentral:rRNA from 1 species
AUAUUCAUCGCCACUAUUAUCGUAGUAAAUGCCAUCACCAUGCAUUGUUUUAUACAUUGCAAAACGGCGCCCAUCUUUUAGAACGAAUUCACCAUCAAGACAACGGUUACCAUCAAUCGUCAAAUCACAGACCUCGUCCCAUUCUUCAUGCAUAACAUAACAAAGGUCACCAACAUAAUAUUUACCAAUGGGCAUUGUCAUUUUAACUUCCUAUUAACAACCAGUCCAACGCACAUUUGAAAAAUCACCCUUUUGAAUUGAGCCACGCGCAAAGUUAGUCGCAGGUGCUUUCCAUGAUGCAGCCUUGAGAAUAUCACCAACAGCAAAACCUUUUGUUGCCUUGAUAACAAUAAAAGAAAGCACCGGCUAACUCUGUGCCAGCAGCCGCGGUAAUACAGAGGGUGCAAGCGUUGCUCGGAUUUACUGGGCGUAAAGCGUACGCAGACGGCAAGAAAGGUCGGAUGUGAAAGCCCCGGGCUCAACCUGGGAACUGCAUCCGAAACCAUCUCGCUCGAGUGUGGGAGAGGGAAGUGGAAUUCCUGGUGUAGAGGUGAAAUUCGUAGAUAUCAGGAGGAACACCGGCGGCGAAGGCGGCUUCCUGGCCCAUUACUGACGUUCAGGUACGAAAGCGUGGGUAGCAAACAGGAUUAGAUACCCUGGUAGUCCACGCCGUAAACGAUGUGUGCUGGAUGUCGGGGGUAUUCACCCCCUCGGUAUCGAAGCCAACGCGAUAAGCACACCGCCUGGGGAGUACGGCCGCAAGGUUGAAACUCAAAGGAAUUGACGGGGGCCCGCACAAGCGGUGGAGUAUGUGGUUUAAUUCGAUGCAACGCGAAGAACCUUACCAGGGUUUGACAUCCUACGAAUCCCUUGGAAACGAGGGAGUGCCUUCGGGAGCGCAGUGACAGGUGGUGCAUGGCUGUCGUCAGCUCGUGUCGUGAGAUGUUGGGUUAAGUCCCGCAACGAGCGCAACCCACGUCGUUAGUUGC